CUUUAGUGGCGGACUGGUGAGUAACGCGUAAGCAAUCUGCCUAUUAGAGGGGAAUAACAGUGAGAAAUCACUGCUAAUACCGCAUAUGCCAUAGUUAUCACAUGAUAAUAGUGGGAAAGGAGCAAUCCGCUAAUAGAUGAGCUUGCGUCUGAUUAGCUAGUUGGUGGGGUAACGGCCUACCAAGGCGACGAUCAGUAGCCGGACUGAGAGGUUGAACGGCCACAUUGGGACUGAGAUACGGCCCAGACUCCUACGGGAGGCAGCAGUCGGGAAUAUUGCGCAAUGGAGGAAACUCUGACGCAGUGACGCCGCGUAUAGGAAGAAGGUUUUCGGAUUGUAAACUAUUGUCGUUAGGGAAGAUACAAGACAGUACCUAAGGAGGAAGCUCCGGCUAACUACGUGCCAGCAGCCGCGGUAAUACGUAGGGAGCAAGCGUUAUCCGGAUUUAUUGGGUGUAAAGGGUGCGUAGACGGAAAAUUAAGUUAGUUGUGAAAUCCCUCGGCUUAACUGAGGAACUGCAACUAAAACUGGUUUUCUUGAGUGCGGGAGAGGAAAGUGGAAUUCCUAGUGUAGCGGUGAAAUGCGUAAAUAUUAGGAGGAACACCAGUGGCGAAGGCGACUUUCUGGACCGUAACUGACGUUGAGGCACGAAAGUGUGGGGAGCAAACAGGAUUAGAUACCCUGGUAGUCCACACCGUAAACGAUGGAUACUAAGUGGUAGGGUGUAUAAAGCAUCCUGUGUCGUCGCCAACGCAAUAAGUAUCCCCACCUGGGGGAGUACGCCCGCAAGGUUGUAACUGGAAGGAAUGGGGGGGGGCCCGCGCAGCGAGGUGAGUAUGUGGUUUAAUUGGAAGGAACGGGACGAUCCUUGGCAGGGCCGUACAUAUGCAGGAGUAUGUGAGAGAUAAGAUAGCUGUUGUGAGUAUGCAGACAGGGGGUGCAUGUUGUUAGUCAGCUUGGGUCGAGAGAGGGUGGGGUAAGUCCCGGAGCGCGCGCCACCCUUAUUGCCAGUUACUAGGUUAGGAGGGAUCUGUCGUGAGUGCCGUGGACAAAACUGGGGAAGGGGGGGAGGAGGUGAAAUCUUCUCGCCCCUUAUGUGUUGGGGUACACACGUGUUACACAGGGGUUGAACCAGGGGAAGCAAGACCGGGAGGAGGAGCCAAACUCAAAAACACGGUCUCAGUUCGGAUUGCAGGCUGCAAUUCGCCUGCAUGAAGUCGGAAUUGCUAGUAAUGGCGGAUCAGCAUGCCGCGGUGAAUACGUUCCCGGGCCUUGUACUCACCGCCCGUCA
rnacentral:rRNA from 1 species